rnacentral:lncRNA from 1 species
GUCCGGUUUCACAGUUUGAAUAGUUUGAGACCAGUUAAUAAUACCUAUCAAUUUCAGUUGCUGCUAACAACGUAACUAUAGACACCAGUAACGCACAUACCAUUUUCAGUGAAUGUACGUGAAUACACAAAUAUAAGAUUUAAAUCACUUUAUACAUCGACAAGGACAAAAUGAAAUGGUCAGACUAUGAAUUGAUCUGAUCUAUUUCACGCAUCUUUCGUCUAAUUAAACAGCAUUAUAAUCCAAAAUUUUGUCAUGUUAAGCCCACGCCUGAUGAAAAGAGAUCCUGCAAACCAUAGAAUUGAUUAAUUCAUAGCUUCACUAGGUCAGUUCUGAAUUUGAAACAAUACAAGAGAAGAACAAAUCAAAAUAAUCAUCAGAUCAAAAUACAAUACACA